rnacentral:rRNA from 1 species
CACGUAGGCGGACGACUAAGUCGGGUGUGAAAUCCCUCGGCCCAACCGAGGAACUGCGCCCGAUACUGGCCGUCUUGAGGGCAGGAGGGGAGCGUGGAAUUCCUGGUGGAGCGGUGAAAUGCGUUGAUAUCAGGAGGAACACCGGCGGCGAAGGCGACGCUCUGGCCUGCUUCUGACGCUGAGGUGCGAAAGCCAGGGGAGCAAACG